rnacentral:rRNA from 1 species
CCCGCACAAGCGGAGGAGCAUGUGGUUUAAUUCGAUGAUACGCGAGGAACCUUACCUGGGCUCGAACGUAAGAUGACUGUAGGUGAAAGCUUACAUCUCUUCGGAGCAUUUUACGAGGUGCUGCAUGGUUGUCGUCAGCUCGUGCCGUGAGGUGUCGGGUUAAGUCCCAUAACGAGCGCAACCCCUACCUUUAGUUGCCAUCAGGUUAAGCUGGGACUCUAAAGGAACUGCCUACGCAAGUAGUGAGGAAGGCGGGGGUGACGUCAAAUCAGCACGGCCCUUACGUCCAGGGCUACACACGUGCUACAAUGGCCGAUACAGAGGGCAGCUACCUGGUGACAGGAUGCAAAUCUCCAAAGUCGGUCUCAGUUCGGAUCGGAGUCUGCAACCCGACUCCGUGAAGUUGGAUUCGCUAGUAAUCGCGCAUCAGCCAUGGCGCGGUGAAUACGUUCCCGGGCCUU